AGAGUGAACGCUGGCGGCAGGCCUAACACAUGCAAGUCGAACGGCAGCACAGAGGAGCUUGCUCCUUGGGUGGCGAGUGGCGGACGGGUGAGGAAAACGUCGGAAUCUGCCUAUUUGUGGGGGAUAACGUAGGGAAACUUACGCUAAUACCGCAUACGACCUACGGGUGAAAGCGGAGGACCUUCGGGCUUCGCGCAGAUAGAUGAGCCGACGUCGGAUUAGCUAGUUGGCGGGGUAAAGGCCACCAAGGCGACGAUCCGUAGCUGGUCUGAGAGGAUGAUCAGCCACACUGGAACUGAGACACGGUCCAGACUCCUACGGGAGGCAGCAGUGGGGAAUAUUGGACAAUGGGCGCAAGCCUGAUCCAGCCAUGCCGCGUGUGUGAAGAAGGCCUUGGGUUGUAAAGCACUUUGUCCGGAAAGAAAAGCAACUGGUUAACUACCCUGGUAGUCAUGACGGUACCGGAAGAAUAAGCAACCGGCUAACUUCGU
rnacentral:rRNA from 1 species